UGGCGAACGGGUGAGUAACAUGUGGGUGAUCUGCCCUGCACUUCGGGAUAAGCCUGGGAAACUGGGUCUAAUACCGGAUAGGACGAUGGUUUGGAUGCCAUUGUGGAAAGUUUUUUCGGUGUGGGAUGAGCUCGCGGCCUAUCAGCUUGUUGGUGGGGUAAUGGCCUACCAAGGCGACGACGGGUAGCCGGCCUGAGAGGGUGUACGGCCACAUUGGGACUGAGACACGGCCCAG
rnacentral:rRNA from 1 species